rnacentral:rRNA from 1 species
CGGUGCCAGCCGCCGCGGUAAUACCGGCGCCUCAAGUGGUAGUCGAUUUUAUUGGGCCUAAAACGUCCGUAGCCUGUUUGGUACAUUCGUGGGUAAAUCAACCAGCUCAACUGGUUGAAUUCUGCGAGCACGGCCAGACUUGGGACCGGGAGAGGUGUGGGGUACGCUCAGGGUAGGGGUAAAAUCCUGUCAUCCUGAGCGGACCACCUGUUGCGAAGGCGCCACACUAGAACGGAUCCGACGGUCAGGGACGAAGCCUAGGGGCACGAACCGGAUUAGAUACCCGGGUAGUCCUAGGUGUAAACGCUGUGGACUUGGUGUUGGGGAUGAUCCGAUCAUUCUCAGUGCCGAAGCGAAGGUGAUAAGUCCACUGCCUGGGGAGUACGGUCGCAAGGCCGAAACUUAAAGGAAUUGGCGGGGGAGCACCGCAACCUGAGGAUUGUGCGGUUU